UGAUCAAUAGGACUAACGGUAGUGCGUUCGAUUCCAGAUCGAAAGGAUAUCCGUUCAAAUCGGGUGUAGUUCAA
rnacentral:tRNA from 1 species